AGUAUAGCCACCAAUUUCUACUGAGUAUUUAUCUACUAUAUGGCAGGUCAAGUCUGCAUUCUGGGAUAAAGUGUUGACACAAUCUUGAAUCAGUGCCUAAGGAGUUCACAAGUCCAGAGAGGGGAUAGCGCAUAGAGAAGAUAAAGCAGAUGUCCAUCCAAAGACUUGUAUGUGAAUGUUCAUAGCAACUUUAUUUGUAAUAGCCAAAACCUGAAAGCAACCCAAAUGUAUGUUAAGAAGCGAAUGGAUACAUAAAUUGUGGCAUAUGCAUACAAUGGGAUACCCAGCAAUAAAAAGGAAUGAACUAUUCAAGUAGGCAACAAAAUAGGAAGCAAGGGACAACAGAAGCCUAGAAUUCCUGGUGAGCCAGAUUUCCAAGGCUCAAGAAAGCCAUCCAAGGAAAAUAGAAUCUCUCCUGUGCAUGCUCCUCAUUGCACUGCUGCUGAAGGACCCCAGAAAGCACUCCCCUCUGAGUUAUAUGCCCUGGGGAUAAUUGGCAUUGCUGGACUGAAGUUUGGCAGGACAUCCUGUUCCAGAAGGAAGCAGAACAGAGUACAGCCUGCUGUGGACAGUUCCUUUUUGUCUCAGGAUGCUUCAUUCGCAGCAUAUUCUACAAUUAUUCUGAGAGCUACAAGCAAGAAAGACGAGGGAGAACUGGGUUAGCUAAGAAAUAUAUUUCUGGCAACAGUGGAGAAGAAUGAUAGGAAGAGAAUCAUACUGGAAUAGUAUAGUCCUUUGGAAUGUUGUUGUAAUGAAGGCAAGAAGAAAAAUGAUCUUGAAGGCAAGAAGAAAAAUCAUAUUGAAGGAAAGGAGAGAUGAGUUUACCAAAUAUAAUCUCAGAAUUGUUCUGUAAAUUUCAUUUCUGCUUUAGCAGCCAUAAAGAGCUCCAUUUAUUACAGUAGGAACAGAGGCAACAGCAACAUGGGUGGCUGGCAGUGAUAGAAAGGAUUUUAGUUUUGAUACAUGGAAUUUGACAUGCUUUUUGAAAAUCUUCAGAUGGUGAUGUACAAACUACUGCAGGAACAUAUGAGGAAAGAUGAGAGAAUCCACAGACUCUUUGAAGGAAGCAGAUUGCUCCUGCAGGGCCUGGGAGACAACCAAACACUGGGUCCUUAGGGAGAGGUGCCAGAGGAAUUGGAAAAAGGCCACAGGCAGAAGGAAGGCUCCAGCUAAACUUGAUUGACCCAUCAUUUGGAUGACCCGAAACCACAGAUGCAAUAGAAGAAUGGAACAAAUUUGUACAUUUUGUCAAUAAAAACUUUAUCUUCAGCCCCAGAGUUUAGACACCUAUAUGAAGCUUCCAGGGAUUGCUUUUGCCAGUUUCUCUUCCUGAAAUACUCUCCCUUGAAUAGUUGAAAUGGUCACUCCCUUUCCUAAAAUAUUUCUCCUCAGAGAUAAUUUCCAGCAUCAUCAUCAUCUUAUCAAAAAUGGCACCAUCUGGCAAUAUCUGACCCUUUAUCUCACUUUAUUUUC
rnacentral:lncRNA from 1 species